AAUGGCAAAUGAUGAUUAAAAUUAACGCUUAUUGAUAUACUGAUAUAAUAAUUGUUGACAAAUUACUUAUCUGAUGCCAUU